rnacentral:rRNA from 1 species
GACGAACGCUGGCGGCGUGCUUAACACAUGCAAGUCGAACGAAGAGCGCUGGACGCUUGCUUCUCUCAAUCUUAGUGGCGAACGGGUGAGUAACGCGUAAUCAACCUGCCCUUCAGAGGGGGACAACAGUUGGAAACUACUGCUAAUACCGCAUACGAUCUAAUCUCGGCAUCGAGGAUAUAUGAAAGGUGGCCUCUACAUUUAAGCUCUCACUGCAGGAGGGGCUUGCGUCUGAUUAGCUAGUUGGUGGGGUAACGGCCCACCAAGGCGAUGAUCAGUAGACGGUCUGAGAGGAUGAACGGCCACACUGGGACUGAGACACGGCCAAGACUCCUACGGGAGGCAGCAGGGGGGAAUCUUCCGCAAUGGACGAAAGUCGGACGGAGCAACGCCGCGUGAGUGAUGACGGCCUUCGGGUUGUAAAGCUCUGUUAAGCGGGACGAAAGGCCUUCUUGCGAAUAGUGAGAAGGAUUGACGGUACCGGAAGAGAAAGCCACGGCUAACUACGUG